UAAAAGCACGAAAACAAAACGGACAGUCAUAAAAUGCGUUUGACCUGCUAUAUAAAUAAUUAAGAACAAGCUCAAGCAAGUCAGGGACUGAAGCAUUUAAAUAGUUAGUUAGCUGGAAUUACAGUUACAAUCAUCAGCAAAAGCGCAUAAAAAUUUUGUCGUGCUGAUAGUAGUGAGCACACUAUACAAUUCAGAAAAACAUUGAGACUGUCGCUGCUAUUGCUCCCACUGCCAAAGUGAUACGCAGAUAAACAAGUUAUGGUUGGAAUGCCAGCGAAGUAAACAAGUGGCGCAAAGAAAAGAACAUAUUGAAACAAAUGAAAAGUGAGUUAAAGUAGAAAAGAACUUUGCCAUUAAGAAACGAAAAACAGGAUGAAAAAUAUAUGCGAAUGUAAUGGCUAUUUAUUGUGCAGUAGUGAUAUGCAUCUCAAAGCUAGUGGAGCGCUCAGAUCAGCGAAUGUGCAACAGAGUAACAUCGCUAGUUGCCGCCGCAGACUGCCACAACAACACGCGAUAAAGCAGCGCUUUGGCUUUGCAUGUCAGACAGCGGUUGUGGAGUAAAAGUAGGGGGUACCGUGACAGUUAUCACCGCCUUCGUUCUUGUCGUCGUGCGAAUAAUGUUAACAUCGGUGCUCGCAUAUAAAUUGGAAUGCAGGCAACAGCAUGUGAGAUAAUUUCAAAUUGUCGCUCGCACUCGGCAGAACAUGCGAAGGAACAAGUGCGGUUCAACGCGGCGUAUGCGGACGGAAAAAAUUUAUAAGAAUAGAAGUAAACUGCAAAAAUUAAACUAAGAGAAAGGAAAAACUGAAACGCAGUAAAGUUAUUGUGCGGAGCAGAAAACAAAAUUCAAUAAAUAAAUAAAACAUUUACAAAAUAUUAAAAA